AUAGGCUGAAGGCAGAGAAGCUAGACUCCCAUGCAGCUGCACUUGUCUUGCUCCUGACACUACCUCUCUCAGGUUACUUCUGAGGGUCACUGCGCUCCUCACCUCUCAUCCUCAUGCCAGCUACUUAGAAGUCUUUACCAUCCUGUUCCCUCAAGAAAUCUUUGUCCUCUGAAAAUGUGUGCCUGGAUACCAGAGGCACCAUAACAGACAUGCUGUGUCAUGAGGUCACAAAGGUGGUGGCAAGACAAUUAACGUUGAGGCUGGGGGAAAAGACACCAGAAGAAGAAGGCAACAACAGGAAGAGGAGAAGCAGCAAUUCAGAAAGACACACUUUCUUCUUCGCUUGCCCUGAAUCGGAUAGUGCUUGAAGCCUGGAUUUGUCAGCAGCCACACAAGCCAGCCAACGCAGCAGAGAACAGGGCUGAGGACAGAGAAAAACUGAUGGCCAUGCUUAGGCCAUGGAUCAAGGCAUGCCCAAACCAGCCCCAAUCUUGUGCUUCUCCGUUAUGCCAGUCAAUAAAUUGCCUUUGUUGUUCAAAACUGUA